rnacentral:lncRNA from 10 species
UGCACUGGCCCACACGUGGGCUGAGCCCUGACUGUGUGCUGCUGGAGACAAAGGUGCAUCAGGCACAAUGCCUGCCCUCAGGGGGGCUGCCGUACCUGUGGGGAGACUGAGCACAGAGACACAUGCACCCAGGCUCUGUGUGUGUAAAGUGCAUGCAUUAGCAUAGGCAGAUAUGCCUGCUUCAGGCCGCGUACACACACAUGUGCACGGCAGAUACUCAGAAUCUGGAAUCAGAUCCAGGACUGAUGGCUGCACCGCGGGUAACAAGCCAUACGGCCUUGGGCACAUCGCCCAGCCUUUGUGAGCCUCGGGAGCUCUCUCCGCACCAUUCAGACAACGCACCGUCUCCAGCGGCCUCACGGCAUCCAUGUGCAUUCAGCUGAAAGUGCUCUUGGGACCUCGAAGAGCUGCUUGAAUUUAAGGGGGAGGAAGCACUACCCUAGGCGCUGGAGACAUGAGGAGGAAGGAUGUUUCUGAUUGCCUUCUCCAUGGUGCAGGAGUGAUACACAGGCAAUUAACUGCAGAGCCAGGGAGAACAUCGUGCAGGCAGUCAACAGCGUGAGCCGCCACUUGGAGGUGAGAGGGAAGGUGGCUCAUUCGAGAAUUGAGAGGAACUGGCUGUGCUUCAGCAGAGUCUACGUGGGUCUGACAGCACCAAGUUGAAAGGCGUUUCUCUGAGAAGCAUGAAGGUUCAAGUCAAGGAGGGCAUCAUCUCAGCCCUGUGAGACACUGGGGGGCUGCUCCCGAGGGCAGUGUGGGGGGGUUAAGCUGCUGAGUGACACUUUGGAGGGACUGUUGUGCUGUCAGGUGCAGAAAGUCUUGAAUGACAUUAAGAGUGGAGACAGAAAAACUGAUUCGGAAGCAAUUGCAACAAUCCAGGCACAAGAGUGUGUUGUUGAGGUAAGAUAUUGUAGAGAAGAUGGUAACAUUUUAGGUGAACUUCUCCAUUCUUGUAUACUCAGCACCUAGAACAGAGCCUGGUACACAGCAGGUGCUGGAUAAAUGUCUGUCAAAGAAACCAAGGAGACAGUAGUCAAGCAGUGGCAUGCAUAAUCCCAGAACUUGGCCUUUUCUUCAGUACCGAAGGUGAAGCCAUGAAAUCCAGCCAGGAACGCCCUCGCCUCCCCUCUGCAGUCUGACGAUGGAGUCAGGUGAGAGACGGAUGCAGUGCGGGAGCCUGAGACAGCACAACGUAAAUGGGAACAAUAAGAGUCUCACGCAGGAGCAGCAUCAGUGAACAUGGGGAGGUAAGUAGAGUGGGAGGUUUUGCAGAGAAGCCAGAGCAGAAAUCACAGAAAGGCAAGGUCGUUUGGGAAGGGGCUCAGGUUUUUCCUGCAAGCAUGGGAAAACAGAGGUGUUUCUUCUGCAAGCAGGCAGUGGGGCAGUCUCAGAUCCCAAGGUGACUGGUCCAUGCCUCUCUUCCCACCCCAGCUCAGCACCACACUCCACACCCCAGCCAUGCCACUGGCACCUGCACCUCCACACCCCAGCCACACCGCCGGCACCUGCGUCUCCACACCCCAGCCACACCUCC